rnacentral:rRNA from 17 species
UACUAAGGGCAUAUGGUGGAUGCCUUGGCUCUCAGAGGCGAAGAAAGACGUGAUAAGCUGCGAUAAGCUACGGAGAGGUGCAAAUAACUUUUGACCCGUAGAUUUCUGAAUGGGGAAACCUGGCUGGUUGAAGACCAGUCGUCGAAAGACGCUAACCCAGGGAACUGAAACAUCUAAGUACCUGGAGGAAGAGAAAAUAAUAAUGAUUUCCAAAGUAGUGGCGAGCGAAAUGGAAACAGCC